rnacentral:rRNA from 1 species
CCUACGGGAGGCAGCAGUAGGGGAUAUUGCACAAUGGGGGGAACCCUGAUGCAGCGACGCCGCGUGGGGGAUGAAGGUUUUCGGCGUGUAAAGUCCUUUUAUUAGAGAAGAUAAUGACGGUAUCUGACGAAUAAGCACCGGCUAACUCCGUGCCAGCAGCCGCGGUAAUACGUAGGGUGCAAGCGUUACUCGGAUUCACUGGGCGUAAAGAGCGCGUAGGCGGGAUAGCAAGUCAGAUGUGAAAUCCUAUGGCUUAACCAUAGAACUGCAUUUGAAACUGCUAUUCUAGAGUAUGGGAGAGGCAGGUGGAAUUCUUGGUGUAGCGGUAAAAUCCGUAGAGAUCAAGAGGAAUACUGAUUGCGAAGGCGACCUGCUAGAACAUAACUGACGCUGAGGCGCGAAAGCGUGGGGAGCAAACAGGAUUAGAUACCCUUGUAGUC